rnacentral:rRNA from 1 species
UGAGGAAUAUUGGUCAAUGGGCGGGAGCCUGAACCAGCCAAGUAGCGUGCGGGAUGAAGGCCCUCCGGGUCGUAAACCGCUUUUAGACGGGGGAUAAAAGGGCGUACGUGUACGCCGUAUUGCAUGUACCGUCAGAAAAAGGACCGGCUAAUUCCGUGCCAGCAGCCGCGGUAAUACGGAAGGUCCGGGCGUUAUCCGGAUUUAUUGGGUUUAAAGGGAGCGUAGGCGGACUUUCAAGUCAGUGGUAAAAUCGUGUGGCUCAACCAUACCUCGCCAUUGAAACUGGAAGUCUGGAGUGCACACAGGGGUGCCGGAAUUCAUGGUGUAGCGGUGAAAUGCUUAGAUAUCAUGAAGAACUCCGAUCGCGAAGGCAAGUGCCCGGGGUGCAACUGACGCUGAGGCUCGAAGGUGCGGGUAUCGAACAGGAUUAGAUACC